UUAAUUAACUUUAAAAAAGCAUUACAAAGAAGGUUUGACCCGAUAUUGUUAACAAAGAGCGUUAGGAACGAGGUUACAUCGGAAAAUACACGGAUACAAAACGGAAAAAGACUCAUGCGACGGCAUCAAACUAGUUCAUUGAUAUGGCAACUUGAAACGACAGAGGGGGCAACUGUGAUUGG
rnacentral:sRNA from 1 species